rnacentral:rRNA from 1 species
UACGGAGGAUCCAAGCGUUACCCGGAAUUACUGGGCGUAAAGAGUUGCGUAGGCGGCAUGUUAUGUCAGGUGUGAAAUCUUGGGGCUCAACCCCGAGGCUAUGCCUGAAACUGACAAGCUAGAGCAUGAGAGGGGUACCUGGAAUUCCCGGUGUAGGAGUGAAAUCCGUAGAUAUCGGGAGGAACACCAAUGGCGUAGGCAGGGUACUGGCUCAUUGCUGACGCUCAGGCACGAAAGCGUGGGGAGCGAACGGG